GGGGGUGUUAGGAAUCGAUGGCAUGAUCAUUUCAUAAGGCGCAGGCCGAGCCGUGCCGUUUUUAUCUCGUUAAACUAUUAAGCGGCAAACAUAAGUGUCAACAACUUAUUCAGCAAAGUACGAUUGGCUUUUGCCAAUUUGGCUUUUGCUCCCGCUAUGGCCUAAUUUAGGUCGUAGCCAUCCGUCCUGGCGAUGUCUGCUAGCUUGGUUUGGGUGUUAUUUUAGCAGAAUAGGUUCAAUCGGCUUGCAUUCGCGGCUUGAACCAAAACAAAAGAAUGCUGGCCUUAACAAGUUUUGUUUCUGUUUUAAUUGUUAAGGUGAAACUAUAAUAGAAACUACGCCUGUACGCGCCUUAUCACUUGCUUGCCAGACAGGGGUUCAAUUCCCCUCAUCUCCACAG
rnacentral:tmRNA from 1 species